AAUAAUCAAAUAUAAUAAUUGGGCUAAGCGUCAAGUUGGUAAUUAUUUUUUUACAUCUCCUCCUAUGGGAACCCAUGUAUCAUACAACCCCCCCCCCCCCCCCCCAGAAUAAAGAGCAUUGGGCACGAGAAGAAAAGCCCUAAGC
rnacentral:antisense_RNA from 1 species